GUCAGUUUGUGUGUUGCUUCU
rnacentral:sRNA from 1 species